UGGCUCAGAGGGUAAAAGCACCUGCCUGCAAUGUGGGAGACCCAGGUUCGAUCCCUGG
rnacentral:tRNA from 1 species